CCUACGGGUGGCAGCAGUGAGGAAUAUUGGUCAAUGGCCGAGAGGCUGAACCAGCCAAGUCGCGUGAGGGAAGACGGCCCUACGGGUUGUAAACCUCUUUUGUCGGGGAGCAAAGAGAGUCACGUGUGACUCAUUGAGAGUACCCGAAGUAAAAGCAUCGGCUAACUCCGUUCCAGCCGCCGCGGUAAGAGGGAGGAUGCGAGCUUUAUCCGGAUUGAUUGGGUUUAAAGGGUGCGCAGGCGGAGGUGCAAGUCAGCGGUCAAACUGCGGGGCUCAACCCCGUACGGCCGUUGAAACGGCAUCCCUUGAGUGCGCGAGAAGUAUGCGGAAUGCGUGGUGUAGCGGUGAAAUGCAUAGAUAUAACGCAGAAC
rnacentral:rRNA from 1 species